AAGUCGUAACAAGGUUUCCGUAGGUGAACCUGCGGAAGGAUCAUUAAAGAGUUAGGGUCUCUCCAGGCCCGACCUCCCAACCCUUUGUUUACUUUGCUGCAUGUUGCUUUGGCGGACCCGUCUCACGACCGCCCUGGGACCGCCGAGAGGUGCCCCUGGGCCCGUGUCCGCCGAUAGCCAACCUAAACUCUUGAAUGAAUCGUGUUUUAUGUCUGAGUCUAUUGAUUAAAUCAAAAGCAAAAACUUUCAACAACGGAUCUCUUGGUUCUG
rnacentral:misc_RNA from 1 species